GUUCGGUCGGCAAUUGAAGCAGCGUGAAGCAAUAUCCUCCCAUCGAAGAGCAAGAAACGAGCUGGAGGGGGCAAGGUGUCGCUCGCUUGGGCGAGAUGAUUGACAAGCGAGUUAACGAUCCCGACGCCUCUGAUGAAGAAGUCCUCAACGUCGAAAGAAGGAGAGAGAGAGAGAGAGAGGUACUAAGGACACUUUGAUGAUGUUUGCGUAUUAACUAACGAUCCCUCCACGCCACCUGUGCGAAUAAUUCCUUGAUGGAAGGAAAUUGCGGAUGAAAUUGAUGCGCGUGCCGGUUUGUGUUAACGAGCAGCCCGCCAUUUUUGUGGUGAGUGGUUUCGCGCUUUUCUUUUCUUUUCUUUUUUUUUUUUU